rnacentral:rRNA from 1 species
GAUGAACGCUAGCUGGAGGCUUAAUACAUGCAAGUCGAGCGGGAUUGGGUAGCAAUACCCAUGAGAGCGGCGCACGGGUGAGUAACGCGUACACGACCUACCUCUGACAGGGGGAUAGCCCUGGGAAACUGGGAUUAAUACCGCAUAUUAUUCUGAAUAAUAAAGGUUUGGAAUGAAAGCUGAGGCGGUCAGAGAUGGGUGUGCGUCUGAUUAGCUAGUUGGUAGGGUAACGGCCUACCAAGGCGAUGAUCAGUAGGGGGCGUGAGAGCGUGGUCCCCCACACGGGUACUGAGACACGGACCCGACUCCUACGGGAGGCAGCAGUAAGGAAUAUUGGUCAAUGGGCGAAAGCCUGAACCAGCCAUCCAGCGUGCAGGAAGAAGGCCCUAUGGGUUGUAAACUGCUUUUAUCAGGGAAGAAACCUCUGGAUUUACUCCGGAGCUGACGGUACCUGAAGAAUAAGCACCGGCUAACUCCGUGCCAGCAGCCGCGGUAAAGU